rnacentral:rRNA from 1 species
CCUACGGGAGGCAGCAGUGGGGAAUAUUGGGCAAUGGAGGAAACUCUGACCCAGCAACGCCGCGUGAAAGAUGAAGGUUUUCGGAUUGUAAACUUCUGUCGCGAGGGAUGAAGAAUGACGGUACCUCGUAAGAAAGCCCCGGCAAACUACGUGCCAGCAGCCGCGGUAAUACGUAGGGGGCGAGCGUUGUCCGGAAUGACUGGGCGUAAAGGGAGUGUAGGCGGGUUAUUAAGGCAUGUGUGAAAGCGGGCGGCUCAACCGUGAAAUUGCAAAUAAAACUGGUAAGAGGGAGUGCAGGUGAGGUAGGUGUAAUUCGUGGUGUAGCGGGGAAAUGCUUAGAGAUAACGAAGAAC